CCUACGGGUGGCAGCAGUGGGGAAUAUUGCACAAUGGGGGAAACCCUGAUGCAGCGACGCCGCGUGAGUGAAGAAGUAUUUCGGUAUGUAAAGCUCUAUCAGCAGGAACGAGACAAGACGGUACCUGACUAAGAAGCCCCUGCUAACUACGUCCCAGCAGCCGCGGUAAUACGUAGGGGGCAAGCGUUAUCCGGAAUCACUGGGUGUAAGGGGAGCGUAGAGGGAUGUGCAAGCCUGAAGUGAAAGGCGGGGGCCCAACCCCUGGACUGCUUUGGGAACUGGACGGCUGGAGUGCAGGAGAGGUAAGUGGAAUUCCUAGUGUAGCGGUGAAAUGCGUAGAUAUUAGGAGGAACACCAGUGGCGAAGGCGGCUUACUGGACUGUAACUGACGUUGAGGCUCGAAAGCGUGGGGAGCAAACAGGAUUAGAUACCCCUGUAGUC
rnacentral:rRNA from 1 species